AGUUGGCAGCAUUGUCCGUGUCCCUAACGAUUAUAUAAGUCAGAUCAGGACAGAAACAGCACUGUUAAUACGAUAUAACAUAGCAUACAUUAACGUACUGUAACAGUACUACUAACGCUCGCAGCUUAAUGUAUAUUUACCAGAUCACACAUCUAACGCUAAAAUCGUCUACAGUGAGGACGAUAGUUUAAAAACAACAACCGUAUACCACAACACAUGUACACUCUUAAAAAUACUGGGUUAUUUUAUUAACCCAACCACUGGGUUGAGGCUGUUUAACCCUGUAUUAUGUAUAUUCAACCCAUAUUGGGUUACUUACAGUAACCCAGUAGUUGGGUUAAUGGUUUUGGACUGUGCCUUGAUCUGAAUAACCCAACCAAUGGUCAUUUUAACCCAGUGGUUGGGUUACAUUCAAGUUUGGGUUCUCCUCCAACGGUCUUUUUCUUUUCCUCCGAGGCGGGAGAACACUUUUGGAAACGCUGAAGCGAUUGAAUAUGGAGGACUUUGUUAAACUAAAGUUAACAGAACGGCAACUUCUUGAGCUGAUUGACACUUUUGCAGAUUGUGCAGGACUUCGAGGUUCUUCAUAAAGAGGCAUCAGACUAAAUCUUUGACCUGGAGGAGGUUCAGCGAGAAGCUUGUUCAUGCGGCCCAGUGGGAGGGGUAGAAGCUCCACGUGCAGACAGAGA